GAUAAACCUGUUGCAUUGAGGACUGAAGAGUUUUGGAGCAAGUGAUUGAAAGUUUGAAACGAUGGGGUUAGCCCCUGUGCAUUUGCUUUUGCAUGAUUCAAGCUUAGAUAUGGUGGCAAAUUGGGUUUUGGAUGGUUUGAUUAAUGAGAAGGGUCUGUUUUGGCUUUUUGAUAACAUGGUUGAAACAGGUGAGGUUCCUUAUCAAGAAAUUAUGUCCCACUAUAAUAAAUUAAAGAGCGUGCAUAAACCUGUUGCAUUGAGCACUGAAGAGUUUUGGAGCAAGUGAUUGAAAGUUUGAAACGAUGGGGUUAGCCCCUGUGCAUUUGCUUUUGCAUGAUUCAAGCUUAGAUAUGGUGGCAAAUUGGGUUUUGGAUGGUUUGAUUAAUGAGAAGGGUCUGUUUUGGCUUUUUGAUAACAUGGUUGAAACAGGUGAGGUUCCUUAUCAAGAAAUUAUGUCCCACUAUAAUAAAUUAAAGAGCGUG
rnacentral:misc_RNA from 1 species